UACGGAGGGGGCUAGCGUUGUUCGGAAUUACUGGGCGUAAAGCGCGCGUAGGCGGACCUGCAAGUCGGGGGUGAAAGCCCGAGGCUCAACCUCGGAACUGCCUUCGAUACUGCGGGUCUCGAGUCCGGGAGAGGUGAGUGGAAUUCCUAGUGUAGAGGUGAAAUUCGUAGAUAUUAGGAAGAACACCAGUGGCGAAGGCGGCUCACUGGCCCGGUACUGACGCCGAGGCGCGAAAGCGUGGGUAGCAAACAGG
rnacentral:rRNA from 1 species